GAAAGCUUGCUUUCCUGCCGGCGAGUGGCGAACGGGUGAGUAAUACAUCGGAACGUGCCNUGUAGUGGGGAUAACUAGUCGAAAGAUUAGCUAAUACCGCAUACGACUGAGGGUGAAAGUGGGGGACCGCAAGGCCUCAUGCUAUAGGAGCGGCCGAUGUCUGAUUAGCUAGUUGGUGGGGUAAAGGCCCACCAAGGCGACGAUCAGUAGCUGGUCUGAGAGGACGAUCAGCCACACUGGGACUGAGACACGGCCCAGACUCCUACGGGAGGCAGCAGUGGGGAAUUUUGGACAAUGGGCGAAAGCCUGAUCCAGCAAUGCCGCGUGUGUGAAGAAGGCCUUCGGGUUGUAAAGCACUUUUGUCCGGAAAGAAAUGGCUCUGGUUAAUACCUGGGGUCGAUGACGGUACCGGAAGAAUAAGGACCGGCUAACUACGUGCCAGCAGCCGCGGUAAUACGUAGGGUCCAAGCGUUUAUCGGAAUUACUGGGCGUAAAGCGUGCGCAGGCGGUUGUGCAAGACCGAUGUGAAAUCCCCGAGCUUAACUUGGGAAUUGCAUUGGUGACUGCACGGCUAGAGUGUGUCAGAGGGGGGUAGAAUUCCACGUGUAGCAGUGAAAUGCGUAGAGAUGUGGAGGAAUACCGAUGGCGAAGGCAGCCCCCUGGGAUAACACUGACGCUCAUGCACGAAAGCGUGGGGAGCAAACAGGAUUAGAUACCCUGGUAGUCCACGCCCUAAACGAUGUCAACUAGUUGUUGGGGAUUCAUUUCCUUAGUAACGUAGCUAACGCGUGAAGUUGACCGCCUGGGGAGUACGGUCGCAAGAUUAAAACUCAAAGGAAUUGACGGGGACCCGCACAAGCGGUGGAUGAUGUGGAUUAAUUCGAUGCAACGCGAAAAACCUUACCUACCCUUGACAUGCCACUAACGAAGCAGAGAUGCAUUAGGUGCUCGAAAGAGAAAGUGGACACAG
rnacentral:rRNA from 1 species